rnacentral:rRNA from 1 species
UACGAAGGGGGCUAGCGUUGUUCGGAUUUACUGGGCGUAAAGCGCGUGUAGGCGGGCUGGAAAGUUGGGGGUGAAAUCCCGAGGCUCAACCUCGGAACUGCCUCCAAAACUUCCAGCCUGGACUCAAGCAGAGGCAAGUGGAAUUGCGAGUGUAGAGGUGAAAUGCGUAGAUAUCGAGAGGAACACCUGCGGCGAAGGCGGGUUGCUGGGCUGACACUGACGCUGAUGCGCGAAAGCUAGGGGAGCGAACGGG